GGGUGCGUAACACGUAAGAAUCUGCCUUUAGGAAGGGGAUAACAUUUAGAAAUAUUUGCUAAUACCCUAUAUGCUUCACAGUGAAAGAAUUUAUUCGCCUAAAGAGGAGCUUGCGUCUGAUUAGCUAGUUGGUAGGGUAAAGGCCUACCAAGGCGACGAUCAGUAGUUGGUCUGAGAGGACGGCCAGCCACAUUGGAACUGAGACACGGUCCAGACUCUUACGGGAGGCAGCAGUGAGGAAUUUUCUGCAAUGGGCGAAAGCCUGACAGAGCAAUACCGCGUGAGGGAUGACUGCCUACGGGUUGUAAACCUCUUUUCUCAAGGAGGAAGAUCUGACGUUACUUGAGGAAUAAGCAUCGGCUAACCCUGUGCCAGCAGCCGCGGUAAUACAGGGGAUGCAAGUGUUAUCCGGAAUUAUUGGGCGUAAAGCGUCUGCAGGUUGAUCUAUAAGUCUUUUGUCAAAUCUUUGGGCUUAACCCAAAAACAGCAAAAGAAACUAUUUAUCUUGAGUAUGGUAGAGGUAAGGGGAAUUUCCAGUGGAGCGGUGAAAUGCGUAGAUAUUGGAAAGAACACCAACAGCGAAGGCACCUUACUGGGCCAUUACUGACACUCAGAGACGAAAGCUAGGGUAGCAAACGGGAUUAGAUACCCCGGUAGUCCUAGCUGUAAACGAUGGAUACUAGGUGUUGCGUACUUUAUAGUAUGCAGUGUCGUAGCUAACGCG
rnacentral:rRNA from 1 species